rnacentral:rRNA from 1 species
GAUGAACGCUGGCGGCGUGCCUAAUACAUGCAAGUCGAGCGAACAGAUAAGGAGCUUGCUCCUUUGACGUUAGCGGCGGACGGGUGAGUAACACGUGGGUAACCUACCUAUAAGACUGGGAUAAACUUCGGGAAACCGGAGCUAAUACCGGAUAACAUUUGGAACCGCAUGGUUCUAAAGUGAAAGAUGGUUUUGCUAUCACUUAUAGAUGGACCCGCGCCGUAUUAGCUAGUUGGUAAGGUAACGGCUUACCAAGGCGACGAUACGUAGCCGACCUGAGAGGGUGAUCGGCCACACUGGAACUGAGACACGGUCCAGACUCCUACGGGAGGCAGCAGUAGGGAAUCUUCCGCAAUGGGCAAAGCCUAACGCCGCGUGAGUGAUGAAGGGUUUCGGCUCGAAACUCUGUUUUAGGGAAGAACAAAGU